rnacentral:rRNA from 1 species
UACGUAGGGUGCGAGCGUUAAUCGGAAUUACUGGGCGUAAAGCGUGCGCAGGCGGUUCGCCAAGUCAGGUGUGAAAUCCCCGGGCUUAACCUGGGAAUUGCGCUUGAAACUAGCGGGCUUGAGUGUGGCAGAGGGGGGUGGAAUUCCACGUGUAGCAGUGAAAUGCGUAGAGAUGUGGAGGAACACCGAUGGCGAAGGCAGCCCCCUGGGUCGAUACUGACGCUCAUGCACGAAAGCGUGGGGAGCAAACAGG